rnacentral:rRNA from 1 species
UCGAGAAUCUUCGGCAAUGGGCGCAAGCCUGACCGAGCGACGCCGCGUGCGGGAUGAAGGCCUUCGGGUUGUAAACCGCUGUCGUAGGGGAGGAAGGUUCCGUGAAGAACGGAGCUUGACCGAUCCUAGGAGGAAGGGCCGGCUAAUCUCGUGCCAGCAGCCGCGGUAAUACGAGAGGCCCAAACGUUAUUCGGAAUCACUGGGCUUAAAGAGUUCGUAGGCGGCGCGGAAAGUGGGGUGUGAAGCCCUCGGCUCAACCGAGGAAUUGCGCUCCAAACUGUCGCGCUUGAGGAAGCUAGAGGUAAGCAGAACUGAUGGUGGAGCGGUGAAAUGCGUUGAUAUCAUCAGGAAUACCGGAGGCGAAGGCGGCUUACUGGGACUUUUCUGACGCUGAGGAACGAAAGCUAGGGGAGCAAACGGGAUUAGAUACCCCGGUAGUCCUAGCCGUAAACGGUGAGCACUGGACCGAGGGCCUGCACAGGCCCCCGGUCGUAGCGAAAGUGUUAAGUGCUCCG